rnacentral:rRNA from 1 species
UACGUAGGGGGCUAGCGUUGUCCGGAAUCAUUGGGCGUAAAGAGCGCGUAGGCGGCUAGAUAAGUCCGGUGUGAAAGUCACAGGCUCAACCUGUGAAUGCCGCUGGAAACUGUCUGGCUAGAGUCCGGAAGGGGCGAGUGGAAUUCCUGGUGUAGCGGUGAAAUGCGCAGAUAUCAGGAGGAACACCAAUGGCGAAGGCAGCUCGCUGGGACGGUACUGACGCCGAGGCGCGAAAGCGUGGGGAGCAAACAGG